rnacentral:rRNA from 1 species
AGAGUUUGAUCCUGGCUCAGGACUAACGCUGGCGGCGUGCCUUACACAUGCAAGUCGAACGGAGAGCAAGAGCUUGCUCUUGUUUUUAGUGGCGAACGGGUGCGUAACACGUAGACAACCUGCCUCGGAGCUCGGGAUAACAGUUCGAAAGGACUGCUAAUACCGGAUAAUUUCCCCCACUCUGGUGGGGAGAGGAAAGGCGCCUCAAAGCGUCACUCUGAGAGGGGUCUGCGGUCUAUCAGCUUGUUGGGGGGGUAACGGCCCACCAAGGCUUUGACGGAUAGCUGGUCUGAGAGGAUGAUCAGCCACACUUGGACUGAGAUACGGCCAAGACUCCUACGGGAGGCAGCAGUGAGGAAUCUUCCGCAAUGGACGAAAGUCUGACGGAGCAACGCCGCGUGAGGGAAUGAAGGUUUUCGGACUGUAAACCUCUGUCGGAAGGAAAGAAAAUCCAGGGGAGGAAAUGCCCCUGGGCUGACGGUACCUUCAAAGGAAGCCACGGCUAACUACGUGCCAGCAGUCGCGGUAAUACGUAGGUGGCAAGCGUUGUCCGGAUUUACUGGGCGUAAAGAGGGUGUAGGCGGUUUGUUAAGUCGGUUGUGAAAGCCUGGAGCUCAACUCCAGAACUGCAGCCGAUACUGACAAGCUAGAGAGCAGGAGAGGGAAGGGGAAUUCCCGGUGUAGCGGUGAAAUGCACAGAUAUCGGGAGGAACACCAGUGGCGAAAGCGCCUUCCUGGACUGUUUCUGACGCUGGAGCCCGAAAGCUGGGGGAGCAAACGGGAUUAGAUACCCUGGUAGUCG